GCCGACGUAGCUCAGUCGGUAGAGCGCCAGGCUUUUAACCUGGUGGCCGUGGGUUCGAGCCCCACCGUCGGCG
rfam:Acanthamoeba castellanii str. Neff unplaced genomic scaffold scf7180000084761, whole genome shotgun sequence.